rnacentral:rRNA from 1 species
AGAGUUUGAUCCUGGCUCAGGACGAACGCUGGCGGCGUGCCUAAUACAUGCAAGUAGAACGCACAGUUUAUACCGUAGCUUGCUACACCAUAGACUGUGAGUUGCGAACGGGUGAGUAACGCGUAGGUAACCUGCCUGGUAGCGGGGGAUAACUAUUGGAAACGAUAGCUAAUACCGCAUAAUAUUAAUUAUUGCAUGAUAAUUGAUUAAAAGGUGCAAUUGCACCACUACCAGAUGGACCUGCGUUGUAUUAGCUAGUAGGUGAGGUAACGGCUCACCUAGGCGACGAUACAUAGCCGACCUGAGAGGGUGAUCGGCCACACUGGGACUGAGACACGGCCCAGACUCCUACGGGAGGCAGCAGUAGGGAAUCUUCGGCAAUGGACGAAAGUCUGACCGAGCAACGCCGCGUGAGUGAAGAAGGUUUUCGGAUCGUAAAGCUCUGUUGUAAGAGAAGAACGGGUGUGAGAGUGGAAAGUUCACACUGUGACGG